UACGGGGGGGGGGCAAGCGUUGUUCGGAAUUACUGGGCGUAAAGGGCUCGUAGGUGGCCAACUAAGUCAGACGUGAAAUCCCUCAGCUUAACUGGGGAACUGCGUCUGAUACUGGAUGGCUUGAGUUUGGGAGAGGGAUGCGGAAUUCCAGGUGUAGCGGUGAAAUGCGCAGAUAUCAGGAGGAACACCGGUGGCGAAGGCGGGUCUCUGGGCCGAUACUGACGCUGAGGAGCGAAAGCGUGGGGAGCGAACAGG
rnacentral:rRNA from 1 species